rnacentral:tRNA from 1 species
AGGCGCGUAGCUCAGUGGGAGAGCACCUGCCCGACACGCAGGGGGUCGGCGGUUCAAUCCCGCCCGCGCCUACCA